rnacentral:rRNA from 1 species
UGGGGAAUUGUUCACAAUGGGCGCAAGCCUGAUGACGCAACGCCGCGUGGGGGAUGAAGGUCUUCGGAUCGUAAACCCCUGUCGAAUGGGACGAAAGACUCGCGAGUGAAUACUUCGCGAGAGUGACGGUACCGUUAAAGGAAGCCACGGCUAACUCUGUGCCGGCAGCCGCGGUAAUACAGAGGUGGCAAGCGUUGUUCGGAAUUACUGGGCGUAAAGGGCGCGUAGGCGGCCCUCUAAGUCAGACGUGAAAUCCCCCGGCUUAACCUGGGAACUGCGUCUGAUACUGGAGGGCUUGAGUAUGGGAGAGGGAUGUAGAAUUCCAGGUGUAGCGGUGAAAUGCGUAGAUAUCUGGAGGAAUACCGGUGGCGAAGGCGGCAUCCUGGACCAUUACUGACGCUGAGGCGCGAAAGCCAGGGGAGCAAACGGGAUUAGAUACCCCUGUAGUCCCUGAGCGGGCUGGCAAGGCGCAU